AGUGGAUGGGGAGCAACCUAGUUGUGAGUGUGGAAAGGUAGUGCCAAGAAAAGCUGUCAGAAUGAUGAGAAUUGAGUCCCGGUACCCGAAACCGACACAGGUAGGCAAGUAGAGAAUACUAAGGGGCGCGAGGUAACUCUCUCCAAGGAACUCGGCAAAAUGACCCCUUAACUUAGGGAGAAGGGGUGCCACCGAGAGGUGGUCGCAGUGAAGAGGCCCAGGCGACUGUUUAGCAAAAACAUAGGUCUCUGCAAACUCGAAAGAGGAAGUAUAGGGGCUGACGCCUGCCCAGUGCCGGAAGGUUAAAGAAGUUGGUCAGGAGAAAUCUGAAGCUGGCGACUGAAGCCCCGGUGAACGGCGGCCGUAACUAUAACGGUCCUAAGGUAGCGAAAUUCCUUGUCGGGUAAGUUCCGACCCGCACGAAAGGCGUAACGAUCUGGGCGCUGUCUCGGAGAGAGGCUCGGCGAAAUAGGAUUGUCUGUGAAGAUACGGACUACCUGCAUUUGGACAGAAAGACCCUAUGAAGCUUUACUGUAGCUUGAAAUUGUGUUCGGGCUUCCUGUGCGCAGGAUAGGUGGGAGGCGAGGAAGGUCUGCUUGUGGGCAGAUUGGAGCCAACCGUGAGAUACCACUCUCAGGAGGCUAGAAUUCUAACUUAAUUAAGGACAGUUUCAGGUGGGCAGUUUGACUGGGGCGGUCGCCUCCAAAAAGGUAACGGAGGCGUACAAAGGUUCCCUCACACUGGUUGGAAAUCAGUGGCAGAGUGCAAAGGCAGAAGGGAGCUUGACUGCGAGACGGACAAGUCGAGCAGGGUGGAAACACGGUCUUAGUGAUCCGACGGUGCUGUGUGGAAGGGCCGUCGCUCAACGGAUAAAAGUUACUCUAGGAUAACAGGCUGAUCUCCCCCAAGAGUUCACAUCGACGGGGAGGUUUGGCACCUCGAUGUCGGCUCAUCGCAACCUGGGGCGGAAGUACGUCCCAAGGGUUGGGCUGUUCGCCCAUUAAAGCGGUACGUGAGCUGGGUUCAGAACGCCGUGAGACAGUUCGGUCCAUAUCCGAUGUAGGCGUGAGAAUAUUGAGAGGAGCCUUCCUUAGUACGAGAGGACCGGGAAGGACGCACCGCUGGUGUACCUGUUAUGAUGCCAAUCGUAAACGCAGGGUAGCCAAGUGCGGAGAGGAUAACCGCUGAAAGCAUCUAAGUGGGAAGCCCACCUCAAGAUGGGUAUUCUGGUGUAAGGUCACGGGGAGACGACCCGUAGAUAGGCACGAGGUGGAAGUGCAGAGAUGUAUGAAGCCGAAGUGUACUAAUAGACCGUCGGCUUGACC
rnacentral:rRNA from 1 species